UUUUGUCCCAAUUGACUUUGGAUCUUCAGUCUCGAGUCAAAAAUGAGCUACCGAUGGGGGGCUCUUUAGUCUCGAUUGUAACAGCUAGUGGGACGAGAGGGCUUUUUAUCCCAGUUGAAAACACCAAUCGGGACUAAAGCCCUCCUAGUCCCGGUUGGAAUUACCAACCGGGACUAAAGGGGGGCCCCUUUAGGUCCUUGUUGUGUUUUCAACCGGGACUAAAUGCCUCCCCGAGACCUUUAGUCUCCUCCCUCUCUCUCUCUCUCUCCACAUUAUCUCCUCCUCUCCCCUCCCUUAUCUUCUCUCCUCCUCUCCCAUCCUUUAUAUUCUCUCCUCUUCCAGGCCGAGCGGCGCGGGCAGGCGGGUGCGGGCGGAGUGGCACUGCUGUGGUGCUGGCGGGCGAGGGCCCAGCGCGGAGCGGGUAGAGC
rnacentral:lncRNA from 1 species